rnacentral:rRNA from 1 species
CGGAGGGUGCAAACGUUGCUCGGAAUCAUUGGGCGUAAAGCGAACGUAGGCGGCUAUCUAAGUCGGGUGUGAAAGCCCUCGGCUCAACCGAGGAAGUGCAUUCGAAACUGGAUGGCUAGAAUAUCGGAGAGGAUAGCGGAAUUCCCGGUGUAGAGGUGAAAUUCGUAGAUAUCGGGAGGAACACCAGUGGCGAAGGCGGCUAUCUGGACGAAUACUGACGCUGAAGUUCGAAAGCGUGGGGAGCAAACAGGAUUAGAUACCCUGGUAGUCCACGCCGUAAACGAUGAGUGCUAGGUGUCGCGGGUAUUGACCCCUGCGGUGCCGUAGUUAACGCAUUAAGCACUCCGCCUGGGGAGUACGGCCGCAAGGCUA